GACGAACGCUGGCGGCGUGCUUAACACAUGCAAGUCGAACGGUGAAGGGAUCAGCUUGCUGGUUCUGGAUGAGUGGCGAACGGGUGAGUAACACGUGAGUAACCUGCCCCCUUCUUCUGGAUAACCGCAUGAAAGUGUGGCUAACACGGGAUAUUCUGGGUCUGUCGCAUGAUGGGUCUGGGAAAGAUAUUUUUUCGGUGGGGGAUGGGCUCGCGGCCUAUCAGCUUGUUGGUGGGGUGAUGGCCUACCAAGGCGGUGACGGGUAGCCGGCCUGAGAGGGUGGACGGUCACACUGGGACUGAGACACGGCCCAGACUCCUACGGGAGGCAGCAGUGGGGAAUAUUGCACAAUGGGCGCAAGCCUGAUGCAGCGACGCCGCGUGAGGGAUGGAGGCCUUCGGGUUGUAAACCUCUUUCGCCAGUGAAGCAGGCCUGCUCCUUGUGGGUGGGUUGACGGUAGCUGGAUAAGAAGCGCCGGCUAACUACGUG
rnacentral:rRNA from 1 species